UACGGGGGGGGCAAGCGUUGUUCGGAAUUACUGGGCGUAAAGGGCUCGUAGGCGGCCAACUAAGUCAGACGUGAAAUCCCUAGGCUCAACCUAGGAACUGCGUCUGAUACUGGAUGGCUUGAAUCCGGGAGAGGGAUGCAGAAUUCCAGGUGUAGCGGUGAAAUGCGUAGAUAUCAGGAGGAAUACCGAUGGCGAAGGCAGGUCUCUGGGCUGACACUGACGCUCAUGCACGAAAGCGUGGGGAGCAAACAGG
rnacentral:rRNA from 1 species